rnacentral:tRNA from 1 species
AUUACUUUGGCAGAAUAGUGCUAUAAAUUUAGAAUUUAAUUAAGUAUAAUAAUAAUAUACAAGUAAUA